rnacentral:rRNA from 2 species
UGGUGCUUGCAUCAUGAUUUACAUUUGAGUGAGUGGCGAACUGGUGAGUAACACGUGGGAAACCUGCCCAGAAGCGGGGGAUAACACCUGGAAACAGAUGCUAAUACCGCAUAACAACUUGGACCGCAUGGUCCGAGUUUGAAAGAUGGCUUCGGCUAUCACUUUUGGAUGGUCCCGCGGCGUAUUAGCUAGAUGGUGAGGUAACGGCUCACCAUGGCAAUGAUACGUAGCCGACCUGAGAGGGUAAUCGGCCACAUUGGGACUGAGACACGGCCCAAACUCCUACGGGAGGCAGCAGUAGGGAAUCUUCCACAAUGGACGAAAGUCUGAUGGAGCAACGCCGCGUGAGUGAAGAAGGGUUUCGGCUCGUAAAACUCUGUUGUUGAAGAAGAACAUAUCUGAGAGUAACUGUUCAGGUAUUGACGGUAUUUAACCAGAAAGCCACGGCUAACUACGUGCCAGCAGCCGCGGUAAUACGUAGGUGGCAAGCGUUGUCCGGAUUUAUUGGGCGUAAAGCGAGCGCAGGCGGUUUUUUAAGUCUGAUGUGAAAGCCUUCGGCUCAACCGAAGAAGUGCAUCGGAAACUGGGAAACUUGAGUGCAGAAGAGGACAGUGGAACUCCAUGUGUAGCGGUGAAAUGCGUAGAUAUAUGGAAGAACACCAGUGGCGAAGGCGGCUGUCUGGUCUGUAACUGACGCUGAGGCUCGAAAGUAUGGGUAGCAAACAGGAUUAGAUACCCUGGUAGUCCAUACCGUAAACGAUGAAUGCUAAGUGUUUGGAGGGUUUCCGCCCUUCAGUGCUGCAGCUAACGCAUUAAGCAUUCCGCCUGGGGAGUACGGCCGCAAGGGCUGAAACUCCAAGGGAAUUGACGGGGGGCCCGCCCAAACCGGUGGAGCAUGGGGGUUUAAUUCCAAACUUCCCCGAAGAACCUUACCAGGUCUUGGCCUACUUUGCUAAUUUUAAAAAAUUAAACAUUCCCUUCCGGGACCUGGAAAAAAGGU